AUACGGAGGGUGCGAGCGUUAAUCGGAAUUACUGGGCGUAAAGCGCGCGUAGGCGGCCAAGUCAGUCGGAUGUGAAAGCCCCGGGCUCAACCUGGGAACUGCAUUCGAUACUGGCAGACUAGAGUAUAGUAGAGGCAAGUGGAAUUCCGGGUGUAGCGGUGAAAUGCGUAGAUAUCCGGAGGAACAUCAGUGGCGAAGGCGACUUGCUGGACUAAUACUGACGCUGAGGAGCGAAAGCGUGGGGAGCAAACGGGAUUAGAAACCCCAGUAGUCC
rnacentral:rRNA from 1 species